ACUUUGGAUACAGCUCUUUGGAGCCUGCCAGCAAUUAGAAAUCUUUCUCUCUCACAGACAAAUCAUGACUGGAAUUCAUCAUGGAGAAAAUGUCAGCCACAGAGAAGAAGCAUUUAGCAUGUUUGAGCACGGUCAUGAAAUAGUCAUCACUACAUCAGUGAUGCACAUUAAGCAGAAUGUAGCUGUGCUCUUGUGGAUGUGCUCUCUCAUCCUGGACUGGAUAAUCACAUGGAAGGCCUGUGCUUCACUCUCCCUAGAGAAUGAUUUGCAUCAGUAGGUUAUAAUUUAGGAUGUGUAAGAAUUGCCUAAAACACUGCUGGAAACUUCCCUAAGGCUCUGGAUCACACACGGAGGGUUGAGGAACAACUACAAGCCAAGGACCCUUAAAAGAUGUGGAAGCACCAAGAAAAGAAAAAAAUAAAAGAAAGAAAGAAAUUCAUCAAAACGAAAAUGUACUGCCAAGCGAAAAGCUUAAAAGUUUAAAACUUGACUCUUCAAAGUUGGGGAGAAAAGCAAAUAACAGGGAACUUUGGAACACUUAUCUUCAUUUGCACGGAGACAUUUUCUCACACACGUGGAUUUUCUGGCUUCAGUGUUUGUCCAGUACUCACAGAGUUAAAUCUUAACUUUUCCUAUAUAUGAGUAAUGCAUUAAGAACAGAGCACAGGAAGUCUCCUUAAAAACCAAGAAAUAUUUCUCUGUGAAUUAUUCAUCAUCAACAUAUUGGGACUAUUGUAAAUAAAAAGAGGGGUGUGUCCAGCUCCUAGUGGUCCUUGGGCAAUAAGACCACAUUGAAUGAAUACGUAGAAUGUGCUGUCUGUGCACUGCCACUCAUUUCUCUUUUAAGUUAGAGACUAGACCAGAUGGAACUAUGCAUUAAUUGCUGUAUUUCUGCUCAUUGGAGAAAACAAUAUCCCGCAGUAUUGUUGGACUCUUUGCAUUGUAUUAUAAUAUAUUUUAACCUAUUUUGAAGACAAUGGUAGUACUACCAAGUAUUUUACCCACUUUUAAAAUCUAUAAUCUAAAUAUAUCCUGACAUUUAUUUUUAUCAAACUGUUUUGAAGCUAAUCUUACCAUCUUAUUCCCUUACUUGUCCAAACGUUCAAUAAAAUUUUUGACAGGUUUUCAUCUUAUACUCAUAUAAAAGUCAUCACUGUAGCCUUUGAGUUGCACUUGACAGUAACUAUCCGAGCACCCAUGUGCUGUGGCCACCUUGGCGAUCAUUACAUUUCUUUCCUCUUGGAGACCCAUUUUUCUCCUUUGCUGCAGAAUUAUGUUCAGCUCAGUCAUGAUGGAAACUCCAUCAUUCUAAAUUUCACAUCUGGCAGCCUCAGUGUCCAAAGAGAAUUUAUAAGCAUCUCUUUGUAAGUUAUAGGUAAAAUGGCAAGUCCAGAGUUGAUGUGCUCUAAACAAUGGCGGAAGUCAUGGAACUUUGUUAAAAGUGACAUGUUGUCGCGAGAUGACUUGUUUCUCUU
rnacentral:lncRNA from 1 species